rnacentral:rRNA from 1 species
GAUCCAUGAGUCUACAUACAUAGAUUCUGUUCAUGGAUUAACGAAAAUGUGCAAGAGCUCUAUUUGCCUUUGUCAUUCUAUGAGCCACUUCCUUUUUGCGUAUGGCAUCCCACUCCCUUUGUGAUGAUAGACACACUAUAUAACUAUGUUUCAACUAAGAAACAAAGUAUCCAGUUCAUUACAGUCAAACUGUUAUCACACACAACAUUGAAACCGUACCUCAAGUUGGCUAGUUACUAUGUGUAUUUUCUUUGCUAUUGGACAACGCAAGAGGCUAAUUGA